rnacentral:rRNA from 1 species
AUACGGAGGGGGCUAGCGUUGAUCGGAAUUACUGGGCGUAAAGCGCGCGUAGGCGGCUUGCCAAGUUGGGCGUGAAAGCCCGGGGCUCAACCCCGGAAUUGCGCUCGAAACUGGCAGGCUAGAGACCGGGAGAGGAGAGUGGAAUUCCCAGUGUAGAGGUGAAAUUCGUAGAUAUUGGGAAGAACACCAGUGGCGAAGGCGGCUCUCUGGACCGGACCUGACGCUGAGGCGCGAAAGCGUGGGGAGCAAACAGGAUUAGAAACCCUGGUAGUCC